rnacentral:rRNA from 1 species
AGGAAGUAAAAGUCGUAACAAGGUCUCCGUGGGUGAACCUGCGGAGGGAUCAUUACAAGUGACCCCGGUCUAACCACCGGGAUGUUCAUAACCCUUUGUUGUCCGACUCUGUUGCCUCCGGGGCGACCCUGCCUUCGGGCGGGGGCUCCGGGUGGACACUUCAAACUCUUGCGUAACUUUGCAGUCUGAGUAAACUUAAUUAAUAAAUUAAAACUUUUAACAACGGAUCUCUUGGUUCUGGCAUCGAUGAAGAACGCAGCGAAAUGCGAUAAGUAAUGUGAAUUGCAGAAUUCAGUGAAUCAUCGAAUCUUUGAACGCACAUUGCGCCCCCUGGUAUUCCGGGGGGCAUGCCUGUUCGAGCGUCAUUUCACCACUCAAGCCUCGCUUGGUAUUGGGCAACGCGGUCCGCCGCGUGCCUCAAAUCGACCGGCUGGGUCUUCUGUCCCCUAAGCGUUGUGGAAACUAUUCGCUAAAGGGUGUUCGGGAGGCUACGCCGUAAAACAACCCCAUUUCUAAGGUUGACCUCGGAUCAGGUAGGGAUACCCGCUGAACUUAAGCAUAUCAAUAAG